rnacentral:rRNA from 1 species
UACGAAGGGGGCUAGCGUUGCUCGGAAUCACUGGGCGUAAAGGGUGCGUAGGCGGGUUUUUAAGUCAGGGUGAAAUCCUGGAGCUCAACUCCAGAACUGCCUUUGAUACUGAAGAUCUUGAGUCCGGAGAGGUGAGUGGAACUGCGAGUGUAGAGGUGAAAUUCGUAGAUAUUCGGAAGAACACCAGUGGCGAAGGCGACUUACUGGACACAUAUUGACGCUGAGGUGCGAAGUGUGGGAGCGAACAGG